ACGAACGCUGGCGGCGUGCUUAACACAUGCAAGUCGCACGGAAAGGCCCUGCUUGCAGGGUACUCGAGUGGCGAACGGGUGAGUAACACGUGGGUGAUCUGCCCUGCACUUCGGGAUAAGCCUGGGAAACUGGGUCUAAUACCGGAUAGGAGCCAUUUUUAGUGUGAUGGUUGGAAAGUUUUUUCGGUGUAUGAUGAGCUCGCGGCCUAUCAGCUUGUUGGUGGGGUAAUGGCCUACCAAGGCGGCGACGGGUAGCCGGCCUGAGAGGGUGGACGGCCACAUUGGGACUGAGAUACGGCCCAGACUCCUACGGGAGGCAGCAGUGGGGAAUAUUGCACAAUGGGCGCAAGCCUGAUGCAGCGACGCCGCGUGGGGGAUGACGGCCUUCGGGUUGUAAACUCCUUUCGCUAGGGACGAAGCUUUUUGUGACGGUACCUAGAUAAGAAGCACCGGCUAACUACGUG
rnacentral:rRNA from 1 species